UACGAAGGGGGCUAGCGUUGCUCGGAAUCACUGGGCGUAAAGCGCACGUAGGCGGCUUGUUAAGUCAGGGGUGAAAUCCUGGAGCUCAACUCCAGAACUGCCUUUGAUACUGGCGAGCUUGAGUCCGGGAGAGGGAUGCAGAAUUCCAGGUGUAGCGGUGAAAUGCGUAGAUAUCUGGAGGAAUACCGGUGGCGAAGGCGGCAUCCUGGACCGGCAUUGACGCUGAGGAGCGAAAGCUAGGGGAGCAAACGGG
rnacentral:rRNA from 1 species